CGACACAGAGAGUGAAAACAGAGAUGGCAAGCGCGACACCUGCGACAUAGCUGAUUUAGAAGGUGAAGCUCCAUAUUAGGAUACUUCAUAUGAGAUUUUAAGUAUUCUAAGACUAGCCCUAGUUAUGGGUUUGGUAUCGAGGCAGACUAACCGGGCAUCGAAAGGAGAACAAAAGGAAGAGUUGAAGUUAUUGUGCCACACGUCAAGGCGCAUAGAUCGUCUGUCGUGGCGUACAGCCAUUUCUAAGUAAGGGAGGACCUCUGUGCUAUGCGUCACGGCGCAUUGUGCAUCCGUCGUGGUGUAUGGCUAUUUUCUAUACUUUAUCAGACGAGAAAUGAGAUAGAAAAAGAAAGAAGAGAAAAGAGAGAAAGAAGAGGCGCACCAAAGCUCUGCUAAGGUUUACUUAGGAGCCACUUUAAGAGUAUUUUGAAGGCUACAAACACCCAAGGCUCUAGCUCUGGCGUUGAGAAGGAGAAGACUAAAGAGGCAGAGAAUUAGCAUAUUCAUACUGUAUGCCUCUAGUUUAGCUUUAAUUGUAUAAUAGUAUAUGGCUUGCCAAUUCUAGAAUGCAUAUUACCUCACUUGAAUUAUUUUGGUUGUUGAAAAUGUUAGAAUUGUAUUUUGGGCCCUUAGCCUUUGUGUAUAUUGACAUAUAUAUGUUUAUAGGGCUAAAAUACUAG